AGGGGAUUUUGCCCGACACUCGUACCUAUACUAUAUUGAUCAAUGGUUAUUGUAAGAAGAAGAAAGUAGACACAGCAACAACUCUCUUAGAAGAAAUGCCCCUGAAAGGUUUAACACCUACAGUUGAAACAUACAGUACUAUUUUGGAUGGCUUAUUUCGCACGCGUAGGCUUGAUGAAGCACAUAAGUUUUAUAGGAAGAUGUUAAACCAAGGUGUCAGACUGGAUAUAGUGACAUGUUGUACCUUGCUUCAUGGACUUUGCUGGAAUGGACUGGUUGUUGAAGCAAUGUUCUUGUUUCACAAGAUGGAGUCUUGUGGCUUAGUUCCUGAUAUACACAUUUAUAGUAUUCUGAUUCAUGGAUUGUUCAAGGACGGCAAGGUUGACAAGGCAAGGAACCUUUUUCAUAAUCUUCUUUUGAAGGGUUUACAGCCUAGUGUCAAAACCUACACCAUUAUGAUCCAUGGAUUCUGCCAAGAAGGGUUGCUGGAAGAAGCAUAUAAAAUACUUUUGGAAAUGGAAGAACACAAUUGCUUGCCUGAUGAAGUUACCUACAACACUCUUAUUCGUUGCUGCUUUAAGAAUAAGAUGUAUGAUGGAGGUUGUAUGCUUAUAGAUGAGAUGGUUGCUCAUGGUUUCAAAGCAGAUGCCUCUACCGCCUCGAUGCUAUUUAAUUUGCUGCAAUUAAAAGAGCAGGACCCUGCGCUCGUUGCUUUGCAGAAGAAGUUCAUGCCUUGACUACGCGAGUUUAUUAAGGUACAAAAUACUUUUAAAUUUCCAGAACUUUGUAAUAAUUUGCUACGAUAUAUAUUGCCAAUAGCAAUUGUGAUAUUGGAGUGAAUAAUAUGUAAUUUUGUUGAAUAUGUAAUUUCCAGAACCAUUACAAUUAUUUUUUGAUAUAUUAGUUCUUAAUAUAUGUUUUUUUUCUUCGUCUCUAUGUAGUUUUGAACUUUCUUCCAAAGAAAGGGAAUCCUUCAGAACUACUAUUUAUAUAUUAUUAAACUUGUUUUCUCUGCAUAAAAAUUGUUUUGUCAUGCAUACUUAAAUAUGAUGAUUCAGUCUGCAACAUUAUUAUUUACUUGCACUCUCUUGUCAGUUUGUUAUCUUUUGUCGUAGUCCACUAGCACUUCUCUUUACUGCAAGGUUAGUUUAAAUUAGUAUAAAGUAGAGUUUAAGUGCAGCAGAGUUGAAGUUCAACCGUUAAAGUCAUCAGUACCAAGAUGCGACACUGGGGUCAGUCUAUAAUGUGUGCUAGUCCUUUAUGUAGAUUAAACUUAUUGCGGCUACUUUGUGAAUAAGAGAAACGACGAAGGAUGUGUGCUUAUAGACAAGAUGGUUGCUCAUGGUUGUCCUACUGCAUGCCUCUAGAACCUCCAUCUUGUUAGACUUGAUCGAAGUAAAAGGACCGGCUCUCCUUGCUUUGCAGAAGAACUUUUUGCCCCUGAGAACGUUAAGGAGAGAGUUUGUUAAGGUACACAAUACUUAUAAACUGCCAACACUUCGUCAGAGUUUGCAGCAGAUUUUGAAGGCAAUAGAAACUUUGAUAUUGGAAUUCAUGAUAUGUAAUGUUGUUAAAUAUCAAAUUUUAAGAUGGUGGUCAUAUUUUGUAUUAGAGCAUGUAUUUUCUUUGACAAUGCAGAAAAGCUGGUUCCUCAAGAGAUGCAGAUACCACCUCACAGGAUAUUGGAAUUCAUGAUAUGUAAAUUGUAAUGUGAAAUGGAUGUAGACAUUGAUAUUAUACUGGUUUCAAUUUGGCAGCGGCACACAUAAUAAUAGUAGGAUAAUUAGCUGGUCUGCUUUUGCAAAGGAGAUCUCUUUGCAGGUUGGAGUCUUGGAGGUGCUUGUUUCCUAAAGUGAUGUAUCAUGGAGGUUGUGUACUUAUAGAUGAGGUGUGUGCUCCUGGUUUCAAAACAGAUGCCUCUACCGCCUCCAUGUUAUUCGAUUUGCUGCAAUUGAAAGAGCAGUGCCCCGUGCUCCUUGCUUUGCAGAAGUUCAUGCCUUGAGUACAUCAAGGAGAGAGUUUGUUAAGGUACAAAAUACUUUUAAAUUGCCAAAACUUCGUAAUAGUGUGCUACAAAAUUUUUAAUCAAUAGCAAUUAUGAUAUUACAGAUAAUAGAAUGAAAUUGUUGAAUAUCAAAUUUCGAACUGGUGGCCGUGUUGUAUUUGCAUUUUUUCACAAAACGAGAAGUGUGGUAGAGCAUCUAUUUUUCUUUAACAGAGAGCUGCUUUCUUAGGAGAUGCAUACCACCUGUAUAUUACCGGACCUUCUAUUCUUGCUCUGCAUGGUACAUACUGGCAUCUGUUGAUUUGGUGUAAAAAUUAUUAUUUACUUGCACCUUCGUGAAACUACUUUUGAUAUAUUAUUAAACUUGUUUUCAGACUGUAGUCACAAAUUUGUUUUUAAAAAAUGCCUCCAGUCAAGUUUGUUUAUUCAGAAAUAUCCUAUGCAACUACAUAUACACAUAUCGGCAGGGUAAAAUGGCUAAUUCAUAACAAAGCUGCUUAAAAACUUGCAGUUUGGUCAUGGAGUUAAAAAAGCUCACAGUCAACUAAUGAAGUAUUAAAAAACUUGCAUAUUAAUAACUCCCGUUAACUCUGUUAAUAACAUAACGGAAAUAAGCUCAUUUUCAAAUAGAUCACUGGAUGAAGAACAACACUGCAAAUACAUCAUUCCAAACAUAAUAACCAUCCACCCCCCUGCAGUUACAAUAAUAAAGAGAAUUAUCAUCCCACCUUCAGUUACAGUCACAAAAAAACUAGCAUAUUACCAAGUUUACGGUGUCCAAAAAGCAAGAUGUUCCCCACUAGCAAAUUACAAAUAUUAAACUACAGUCCUGUUUUUCUUGGGACCUUGAAUUUUCUCACAGGAAGCUUUGGCCUUCCUCUUUUGCUGGUCCCAGCCUCAUGUGGUUGCAGCUUUGAAGGAGAUGGAGUCCCACCUGUGCCAUGUGUUGCUUGAACAUUUGGUGUAAGCAUCUGCAUUUUAAUGAAACAAACAAUUAAUACACUAGUUUGUGCAUGAAUUAAAGCAAUUGAAAGGAUAAAAUAACUUACAAAAACCAUUCUUUGGCUUCUUCUAGGUGUAGUUGGUGGUGGUGCACUAACCACAUGCUCAGCCUCCAAAAUCUCAUCCAUAAGUUCAGCUUCCCCUGUCUCCCUUUCCCUCCCAACCCUCUCACUUUCUGCAGCUCUUUCAGCUUCUUCUUCAGUCAUCUGUCUCCUCUUUGGCAUCCUUUUUCUGACUGGCUUCUCCACAUAAUCAGCAGGCUUGUUAGGGCAUUUGCCUCUAGUAUGCCAUGUCUCUCUACAGAUUGUGCAAUGCAUUACCCUCCCCAUCCUAGAGAAGUUUAGUCUUUGGGAUUGCUUCAUCCUUCCUCUAGCCUCCUCCCACCCUUCCCUCCUCCUCUACCUUUUAGGCCUUCCCCUCAGCUGCUUCACAAAUGGUGGUGGGAGAACUGUGUCUCCCAUUGUCUCCUUCCAAAAGGGUUCCCCCCUCAGCACUUCCAAACAAAAUGAGUAAGUCCUCAUAUAUGUAUCUUUCUUGAACCAAUGUUCCACAUAGUCAACUGGAUCUUCUCUUAUUUUUUGAAUGGCACAAACAGAAUGAGAGCAAGGUAUGCCAGUUAACUCCCAUACUCUACAUGAACAAGUACUUUCUUUCAAAUUAACACAAAAACCUACCCCCCUCCAUUUCACUUGAAAGUUAUCCUGACCAUCCCACAACACACUGCACUCACUACUCUCCAAAACAGAUCUGGCUUUAGGCACAAGCACACAAUCUACAUCCCUCAUUGCAUCUCUCUUUUUAUGUAUCCUCUCCAUAAGCAUAUCAUGAAUUUCUGUAAGCAUAUCAGUUAAGGGCAUGUACCUUGUCUUGAGGAUCCAAGCAUUGAAGCACUCAGAGAUAUUGUUGUCAGUGCUUGCACAUUUGGAAUGAGUUGCAAAGUAUGCUUGAGACCAUACUUUGGGAUCCAGUUCAUUCAUCUUCUGAGCAGCCCUUUUGGAGUGCUUUUCAAGGUCCUUCAUUGCAACCUUGAACUGAGCUGGAUGUGUGGAUGUACAAGCUCUCCAAAAUGCCACUUUGACAGCUUCACCUGGAUGCUUCUUAGACAAGUUGGAAGACAAAUGUCUAGCACAAAAUCUGUGCUCCACAAGAGGGAGAAAUUCCCUCACUGCCUUAUCCAAGCCCUACAACAAAGGUCAUAAAACCAAAACAAAAUUAGAUUCACAUAGAACACAAAAACAAAGCUGAAAAAUUAGUUGUAAGGCAAGAUAUUAGCACCUUUUGUUGAUCUGAAAUUAGUGUAUAUCCAGUGCCAUCUCCCAAGUCUAGAUCUUCAAUCAAUAGGAGUAAGAACCAACUCCAAGAAUCAUAAGAUUCAGACUCUACCACAACCAUUGCAAAUGGGAACAUGCUGUCAUUGCCAUCGCUUCCAACUGCUGAAAGAAGCUGGCCACCACACACAGAUUUGAGAAAGCAGCCAUCCAGACCUAUGAUUGGUCUACAUCCAGCCUUCCAACCCUUUUUCAGCUUGUCAUAACAGACAUAAAAUCUCUGAAAAUGAGGUGCAUCUCCCUCAUUCACCCUUGUUGUACAGAUCUUCACUGUGUUGUCCUUAUUUCUCCUCAAAAUUUCACCCCCAAAGUUCCUAACCCAAGCAUAGUGUUUUUUCAUCUCUUCCUCAACUUGACUUAAGGCCCUCUGUCUCACCCUACAACACUUAGCUUCACCAACUUCAACCUUCAAAGUUGUCCUGAAUUCUUCUUGCAUUUCUUUAAGCUUCCAACUAGGAUUUCUUCUUAUCCUAGGACCAUACAGAUCUGCUAGGUACUUGACAGUCACAAGCUUAUUUCUGUAUUGGUAGAUGCAGUUAUGCUCAUCAUUAACUGUCUUCAGCUGCCAACAUUUAUUCUCCUUCAAGUAUGAGAACCACAUCUUAAAGGGACAUCCUUUACUGCACACAACUUGGAUCCUCUGUUGGUCAUCCACACUGUACUUCAGUGGCCUCCCAGAUGCAAUAGAAAAGCUCCUAACUGCAUCUUUGACUUGUGCUUUAUCCUGCAUCUUUGACUUGUGCUUCAUCACCUAUAUCUUCUGCAGCCUCAUUCUCACACAACUCAUAAUCUUCCCCAUCCCCAUUCACAUGAUAAAGGUGUAGCCUAAUGACCCCAGCACCAUAGGCUUUUGUUGCUACAUGAACAAUUUCCGGGAUUUGAUCAUCACUCACAAGCAGUUUGUACCCACCCCUUAGACUAACACCAUUACACAGAUAAUAUAACUUAUCAGAUUCUCCAACGACAAAAUCAAACAUAUUUCUUAUAUAGCUCACACUCAAUUUCUCAACAUCAACCCUAAUCCUUUUCAUUGUAUCCCUACCCACAUACUCUCUAACACCAGUUAAAUUAGGAGUAACAAACCCACCAUUAUAAAACAACACAAUUCGAACAGUCCUGUAUACACACAUAAUAUACAUACGAAUUUAGGGUUUAUAGACACAUGCAUACAAAAUAUAGAGGGUUUACUGAAUCAACAAGAGAAUUAGAGAGGAAACUUACUCCAUUAUGCACGAAAUCGAGAAAUCGUCGCCGGUGAGUAGUUCAGUUCAAUCGUCGCCUCCUCUUUCCCACUCAAUCGCACUGCUGUCUGCUUAGAUAUGUAAUAAAAUGUGUUUUAAGUUUUAUUAUGCAUAUUUAGAUGUAAUUAGGCUUGGGUCGGGUCGGUGUAAGCUUGGGUCGGGUCGGGUUCACGGGUAUUUUAGCGGAGACGUUAAAAGUCAAAGGCACUUUAACCUUUGUGUAAGUUUCUGUUAGCACGGUCGUUCGAUUGAAUUUUUUUUAAAACAAAGUUAUGUGUUUGAGAGUUGUUUCAACUCCAUGACCAAACUGCAAGUUUUUAAGCAGCUUUGUUAUGAAUUAGCCAUUUUACCCCAUAUCUGCAACUAUUAUUGUAAAACUAUAAGAACAUCGUGGAGAUGGUAGAUUAUGGCUGAAGAAAGUAGAAGACAAUGAGCAAGGCUAUCACUACUUCCAUAAGAUUAAUCCACUCUCUCUUUUCUCCACUUAAUCAGACCCCGAUCCCGAAACCCCCUAAACUCCUUCAUGGAUACCUCAUCCGCAACUUCAACAGUUACUUCAUUAGAAAAAUGGUCGGUUAUAUGAGUUCCGUGGUGCUAUUCUUGUGUUAGACAAAAUGCUCCAAGCGAGACCUCGUACUAGUGUUAUCGACUUUAAUUAACUGUUAUCCACGAUCAUUACAAUGAAACAAUACUAUGUUGCUGAAUCUUUUUACUGAUACUUAUGCUUUUACCAUUCCAGUUAUUCUAUAUGCCAGUCAUCGAAAGGUAAGCAGCUGCUACUAAUCAUCCAUCUUCUGUCAAAUUCCCCUACUUUUGCAAUAGUAGUUUUGUUUUAAUUUCUACAUAAAUUUUUUAGCGGCUUAUUUAUACUCCGAUCAUUCAGAUUUGUACUGAAAUAUACACUGACCACUAAUUUUUUUCAUCCAAUUUCAUCAUUCUAGUUUGACGAUUGACGACUAUGCACUCCAGCUAUAGAUCUGGUAAAAAUAGUUACUUGUGUUACACUUACCGGCACAAGAGCGUAUAUGAGCAUGGUUAUGAACACCGUAAUUAUUUGUAUAAUAUAUAUCAAUGUCAGGCCUCACAAUCACCGACGUCAAGAACCUCUUCAGGAUGCCUAGCAGCUCAAGAUCAUCACCGAGACGAUUAAUGGAUCCCAUAAGUUUCUAUCUGGAAAGGGAAGAAUAAGCAGUCAUUUUGUUUGAUCUUUGGUGAGCUUUCUGUAUAGACUUAAGUAUAGCGACAUGCUUUGUUUGCUGUUCAUAUUUUUAUCAUAAUUCUUGUACUUUUACUCUUAAUCGCCUAAUGUUGUAUUAAAUUUACUCCAGAAAAUUCAUGGAAAUUAAAUAACAUUCUUUUCACAUGGAUGAUUGAUUUUUCUCCUUCAAAUGGAGGGUAGAAUUUUAAUGGAAAUAGGGAAGAAAAAGAUUAAUUUUCUGUGCCAUCAAUUAUGCUGUAGUCUGCACUUAUAUAACUUUGUUUCUUCAAUGACUGGCUUACAUUUGGAAGACGCUUUAAAAUAUAGUAGCCUUGUUUAUUAGUAUAAGUUUUUAACUAAAAUUUUUCUUUCUAGUAUUUAUAAUCUGGUAACAGGAGGAAAAGAGUCAAUGUUGCUAAUUGUGAUAAUAUCUCAAACUAUUUGCCGGUGGAAAUCUAAUAUUCUUGCAGACUUCUAUAACUGAAAUGAGGUCUAUGUAGGAUACUGUCUUGGUUCCUGCUUCACCGGUGACAAAUAAGAGUCUUCGGUAGUGUCUGAGGAUUUAUUUAGAGCACUGCAAGUUUUGGCAUCAAUGUUGUUUUCUAUAAUUAUAGUAAUAAAUGUCGACGCCAUCAAUUUUUUAUUUCUGUGAUGCACAUAUUAAGUUCUGUUUCUUUUUUUGUGUUUCUUACUGUAUAUAUUUAAACUCAACCACUUUUGCUGCAGAUGGACCCUUGGCAAUGGUAGCAUUAUAGGUCAAUAUUGGUAGCAGUUACAUACAAUUGUUUGCCUGAUGAAACACUCUUAUCCGCGGCUGCUUUAAGAAUAAGAUGUAUGAUGGAGGUUGUUUACUUAUAGAUGAGAUGUGUGCCCAUGGUUUCAAAGCAGAUGCAUCUACCACAUCCAUGCUAUUCAAUUUGCUGCAAUCGAAAGAGCAGGACCCCCGCUGCUUGCUUUGCAGAAGAAGUUCAUGCCUUGACUACAUCAAUGAGAGUUUUAUUAGGGUACAAAGUACUUUAAAUUGCCAAAACUUUGUACUAAUUUGCUACAAUAUUUUAUUUCAAUAGCAAGUGUGAUAUCAGCGUUAUAAUAUGUAAUUUUGUUGUACAUCAAAUUCGAAAUGGUGGUCGUGUUAUAUUCUUGUGACAGACAAUAUUCUCCACAUGAGACUUGGUACUACGGUUAAUAACUUCAAUCACUACAGUGUUUGUUUCCUACUUAUAAGUCCAGCUUCUGGAUUAUAAGUUAGGAGCACUUAUUUGUACUGUUUGUGUAAUAAGUCAAAAAGCACUUAUAAAAAACUAGGAAUGCUAGCUUUUGUUUCAGGAUUUCUACUUAUUUUCCAAACACUUUAAUCACUUAUAAGUCUUAUCUUACUUCUAACUUCUACUCCACUUAUUUAUUUUAAGCAAGAAACACUUAUUUUAAACUCACCGAAACGACCCCGUAAUCUGCCAUUGUUAAAAUCAAACAAUACUAUUUUGCUGUCUUUCUUUACUGAAACUUGUGCUUUAACCAUUACAACCCACCCACCCUCUCAAUUUCUUACACACUCAUUACAACCCUUCCGACCCUCUCAAUUUCUUACACACUCAGCGACCAAUUAUGAAAUCAAAUUUAAUGAAACUCUACUACAACAUGAAAUGACUCAACAUCAUCAUCCCCUUCUUCAUCACUCUCGUCGUUGUCAUGCUCAUCCUUUCCGCGGCGGCGAUACAAUCGCCGCUGCUCGUUGUCGGUGAUGAAACUCUGAUCCCGAUUAUCGACAGACUCCUUCGCUUUUUUCAGGACAACACGAGACAGAAGGAAAGAAGGAGAAGAGAGCGAUGAGAGAGAGAGAGAAAAAAGAAAUCGAGGAGAUGGAGAUGGAGGAGAGAGAGAAAGAGAGGGUGGGAGAAGAGAGACGGAGAGUAAAUGGGUGAGAAGGAUGAUGAGUUUAACCAAUAGAAUGAAAGUAUCGUAUUAAUGCAAUUUUAAUCUCUUUUUUCUCUCACUAAAAUUGUAAAACUGCAACUAGUUUAAUGUAGUAGUAAGUUUGCAAUAGAAAGCAUAAAAACCGGUAUAUCCGAUAAUUUCCCUUUAAAAAAAUACAUAUAUUAAAAAACCAUUAAUUAUAUAAUAUUUUUUCACUUGUAUUUCUAAUAAAUACACGAAUAUAGACUCUUAUACAACUCUUGUUAUACAAUUUUCAAGAAAGAUAAUUUUGAAAUGCUGUUUUCUUUAAGAAGACUGUUAUAGUGAGACGGAGAGUAUACUCCCUCCUUCUCAAUUUAUAGGGUCUCUUUUGAAAAAAAAAAAUUGUCCCAAAAUACAUGUCCCUCUCUUUUUUCAAUACAAAUUUAUUUAUAUAUUAAUUGUGAUUUUUUUGAAACUCAAUAUUAUUCUCAUUUCUGAAUGCACUAAAAGUUUUAUAUUUAUUGUGAUUUUUUUUGAAAAUCCUGUUGUCACCUAACAAUGCAUUAAUUAAUAAUACAUGAGAUCAAAUUAUAUAUAACCAACUUUUUUUUUAAUAUACGUGUUUUUUCUAAAAUGGAACGUUACUUUACAAGCAGCACUCCCCUUUAAAGAAACAGCACAGGAGCAGAGUUUCUAAACACAAAGGCAAGUGCAACUGUGCAAGAUGAAGACGAUGAUAAUGAUAGUGAGGAGGGCUUUCACCACCUGCUUCAAUUCAAACACUCUUCUUCCAUCCCCCAGUCAAGGUACUAAUACUGUUACUGCUACUACUACUAUUACGUUGCUUCGAUUGCAUUCACUUUCUCAGCCAUCCACUUACCCUAACCCUAAUCACAUACCCACUCAUCACACGGAACUUCAACAAUUACUUAACGAGAAAUGUAAGCUUGGUUUUGAUAAGCUGGAUGAUGCUCUUGUUGUGUUUGAUAAAAUGCUCCGUAUGAAGCCUCUUCCUACUGUCAUCCACUUUACUCAACUCUUGGCCGCCCUUGUCAAGACGAAACAUUACUCCGCGGCUGUCUCCGUCUUUUCAAAAAUGUGCUCUUGUAGCAUUCCUGUUAAUAUAAUUACUUAUAACACCGCCAUCAACUGUUGUUGCCACUUCAAACGAGUUGAUUGUGGCUUUGCGCUGUUGGCUGCCAUCUUUAAGCGUGGUUUUGUCCCGGAUGUCGUUACCUACACAACGCUUCUCAGGGGACUCAUUUCCCAGGACAAGUUUCUCGAGGCUGAGCUUAUGUUCAAGAACCUUCUCAAGUGCAAUCAGAUUCAGCCUAAUGCAGUUAUCUUUAACACCAUUAUCAAUGGCCAGUGCAAAACAGGCAACACUUCCCAGGCUGUGAUGUUGCUUAGAUACAUGGAGAACAAAGGUUGUAUGCCGGAUGUAGUAACUUAUAGCACUGUUAUUGAUGGUUUGUCCAAAGACAGAUUAGUUGAUGAAGCUCUGGGUCUUCUUGCCGAAAUGAGUGACAAAAGCAUUCAACCAAGUGUUGUAUCCUAUAACUCAUUAAUUCAUGGUAUGUGCAACCUCAGUCGGUGGGAUGAUAUUAUACAAUUGUUAAAUGAUAUGGACAGACACAAAAUUUCUCCAGAUGAGCAUACCUACAGUAUAUUGGUUGAUGCACAUGCCAGAGAUGGAAAGGUCAAAGAUGCUCAAUAUCUGAUAGAGUUGAUGAUUCAAAGAGGCCAAAAUCCUAAUGUAGUCACCUACAGUGCACUUAUGGAUGGAUACUGCUUGAGAGGAGAAUUGAAUAAAGCGUUAGCAGUGCUCAGAACCAUGACAAGUAAGGGGAUUUUGCCCAACACUCGUACUUAUAGUAUAUUGAUUAAUGGUUAUUGUAAGAAGAUGAAAGUAGACACAGCAAUACAUCUCUUAGAAGAAAUGCCCCUGAAAGGUUUAACACCUACAGUUGAAACAUACAGUACUAUUUUGGAUGGCUUAUUUCGUACGCGUAGGCUUGAUGAAGCACAUAAGUUUUAUAAGAAGAUGUUAAACAAAGGUGUUAAACUGAAUGUAGUGACAUGCGGCAUCUUGUUGCAUGGACUUUGCUGGAAUGGACUUGUUGGUGAAGCAAUGUCCAUGUUUCACAAGAUGGAGUCAUGUGGCUUAGUUCCUGACAUAUGCAUUUAUAAUAUUCUGAUUAAUGGGUUAUUCAGGGACAACAAGGUUGACAAGGCAAGAAACCUUUAUCAUAAUCUUCUUUUGAAGGGUUUACAGCCUACUGUCAUAACCUACAACAUUAUGAUACAAGGAUUCUGUCAUGAAGGGUUGCUGGAAGAAGCAUAUAAAACACUUUUGGAAAUGGAAGAAAACAAUUGCUUGGCUAAUGGAGUUACAUACAACACUCUUAUUCGCGGCUGCUUUAAGAAUAAGAUGUAUCAUGGAGGUUGUGUGCUUAUAGAUGAGAUGGUUGCUCAUGGUUUCAAAGCAGAUGCCUCUACCGCCUCCAUGCUAUUCGAUUUGCUGCAAUUAAAAGAGCAGGACCCUGCGCUCCUUGCUUUGCAGAAGAAGUUCAUGCCUUGACUACAUCAAUGAGCGAGUUUAUUAAGGUACAAAAUACUUUUAAAUUUCCAGAACUUUGUAAUAAUUUGCUAUGAUAUAUAAUGUCAAUAGCAAUUGCGAUAUUGGAGUUAAUAAUAUGUAAUUUUGUUGAAUAUCAAAUUUGGAGAUGGUGGUUAUUUUAUAUCUGCAUCUUUUUACAAAAUGAGAAUCAUGAAAAAGCAUGUGUUUUCUUUGACAAAAUGCAGGAAGCUGGUUUCUCGGGAGAUGCAUGCCACCUGUAUAUUACAGGACCUGCUAUAAAUAGGACACUGCUAUGCUUGCUCUGUAAAAGUUUUUGUCAUACAUACUGGAAUGAUCCAGUGUGGGAAUUUAUUAUUUACCUGCACUCUUGUAAGUUUCUUAUCUAUUCUCGUAAUUAACUUGGAUUGUUCUUACUGUAGGAUUAGUUUAGAGUUGCAUAAAGCAGUGUUCAGCGCAGAAAAAGUAAAGUACAAGAACCAUUACAAUUAUUUCUCCAUACAUUAGUCCUUAAUAUAUGUAUUUUUUCGUCGUCUGUAUGUAGUUUUGAACUUUCUUCUAAAGAAAGGGAAUCCAUCANCUGGUUUCUCGGGAGAUGCAUGCCACCUGUAUAUUACAGGACCUGCUAUAAAUAGGACACUGCUAUGCUUGCUCUGUAAAAGUUUUUGUCAUACAUACUGGAAUGAUCCAGUGUGGGAAUUUAUUAUUUACCUGCACUCUUGUAAGUUUCUUAUCUAUUCUCGUAAUUAACUUGGAUUGUUCUUACUGUAGGAUUAGUUUAGAGUUGCAUAAAGCAGUGUUCAGCGCAGAAAAAGUAAAGUACAAGAACCAUUACAAUUAUUUCUCCAUACAUUAGUCCUUAAUAUAUGUAUUUUUUCGUCGUCUGUAUGUAGUUUUGAACUUUCUUCUAAAGAAAGGGAAUCCAUCAGAACUACUUUUCAUAUAUUAUUAAACUUGUUUUCUCUGCAUAAAAGUUGUUUUGUCAUGCAUACUUAAAUAUGAUGAUUCAAUCUGCAACAUUAUCAUUUACUUGCACUCUCUUGUCAGUUUGUUACUCCCUCCGUCCCAAAAUAGUUGUCACAUUUAGUUUUGUGCGGAUCAAAUUGACUAAAGUUUGACUGAAAUUUAUUAAUAUUUUAUCAAUUGACAAAAUAAAAAAAUGUCACCGGAAAUAACUUUUAAUCUACUUUAAGAUGUAAUUUUCAAUUUUUUAAAAUAAUGAAUUAUUGACUUAUAAUCUUUGGUCAAAAUUUAGUCAAUUUGACCAACACUCGUACUUAUAAUAUAUUGAUCAAUGGUUAUUGUAAGAAGAUGAAAGUAGACACAGCAAUACAUCUCUUAGAAGAAAUGCCGAGGGCAGGUUUAACACCUACGGUUGAAACGUACAAUACUAUUUUGGAUGGGUUAUUUCGUACGCGUAGGCUUGAUGAAGCACAUAAGUUUUAUAAGAAGAUGCUAAAGCAAGGUCUUAAACUAGAUAUAGUGACAUGUCGUACCUUGCUACAUGGACUUUGCUGGUAUGGACUUGUUGUUGAAGCAAUGUCCCUGUUUAACAAGAUGAAAUCAUGUGGCUUAGUUCCUGACAUACAAAUUUAUACUAUUCUGAUUCAUGGAUUGUUCAAGGACGGCAAGGUUGACGAGGCAAGGAACCUUUUUCAUAAUCUUCUUUUGAAGGGUUUACAGCCUGAUGUCAUAUCCUACAACAUUAUGAUACAAGGAUUAUGUCAAGAAGGGUUGCUGGAAGAAGCAUAUAAAAUACUUUUGGAAAUGGAAGAACACAAUUGCUUGCCUAAUGAAGUUACCUACAACACUCUUAUACGCGGCUGCUUGAAGAAUAAGAUGUAUGAUGGAGGUUGUGUGCUUAUAGAUGAGAUGGUUGCUCAUGGUUUCAAAGCAGAUGCCUUUACCGCCUCCAUGCUAUUCGAUUUGCUGCAAUUAAAAGAGCAGGACCCUGCGCUCCUUGCUUUGCAGAAGAAGUUCAUGCCUUGACUACAUCAAUGAGCGAGUUUAUUAAGGUACAAAAUACCUUUAAAUUUCCAGAACUUUGUCAUAAUUUUCUACGAUAAAUAAUGCCAAUACCAAUUGUGAUAUUGGAGUGAAUAAUAUGUAAUUUUGUUGAAUAUCAAAUUUCGAGAUGGUGGUCAUGUUGUAUCGGCAUGACGGCAUCUUUUUACAAAAUGAGAAUCAUGAAAAAGCAUGUGUUUUCUUUGACAAAAUGCAGGAAGCUGGUUUCUCAGGAGAUGCAUACCACCUGUAUAUUACCAAAACUUCAACGAGUGCCACUUGAGUACAUCAAGGAGAGAGUUUAUUAAGGUACAAAAUACUUUUAAAUUGCCAAAACUUCGUAAUAGUGUGCUACAAAAUUUUAAAUCAAUAGCAAUUAUGAAUUUAUGAUAUUACAGAUAAUAGAAUGUAAUUGUUGAAUAUCAAAUUUCGAACUGGUGGCCGUGUUGUAUUUGCAUCUUUUCACAAAACGGGAAGUGUGGUAGAGCAUCUAUUUUUCUUUAACAAAGAGCUGCUUUCUUAGGAGAUGCAUACCGCCUGUAUAUUACCGGACCUUCUAUUCUUGCUCUGCGUGGUACAUACUGGCAUCUGUUGAUUUGGUGUAAAAAUUAUUAUUUACUUGCACCUUCGUGAAACUACUUUUGAUAUAUUAUUAAACUUGUUUUCAGACUGUAGUCACAAAUUUGUUUUUAAAAAAUGCCUCCAGUCAAGUUUGUUUAUUCAGAAAUAUCCUAUGCAACUACAUAUACACAUAUCUGCAACUAUUAUUGUAAACUAUAAGAACAUUGUGAGAUGGUAGAUUAUGGUUGAAGAAAGUAGAAGACAAUGAGCAAGGCUAUCACUACUUCCAUAAGAUUAAUCCACUCUCUCUUUUCUCCACUUAAUCAGACCCUGAUCCCGAAACCCCCUAAACUCCUUCAUGGAUACGUCAUCCGCAACUUCAACAGUUACUUCAUAAGAAAAAUGGUCAGUUAUAUGAGUUCCGUGGUGCUAUUCUUGUGUUGAACAAAAUGCUCCAAGUGAGACCUCAUACUAGUGUUACCGACUUCAAUUAACUGUUAUCCACCAUCAUUACAAUGAAACAAUACUAUGUUACUGUCUUUUUACUGAUACUUAUGCUUUUACCAUUCCAGUUAUUGUAUAUGCCAGUCAUCAAAAGGUUAGCAGCUGCUACUAAUCAUCCAUCUUCUGACAAAUUCCCCUACCUUUGCAAUAGUAAUUUAGCUUUAAUUUCUACAUCAAUUUUUUAGCGGCUUAUUUAUACUCCGAUCAUUCAGAUUUGUACUGAAAUACACACUUACCACUAAUGAUGGAGGUUGAUUACUUAUUGAUGAGAUGUGUGCCCAUGGCUUCAAAGCAGAUGCAUCUACCACCUCCAUGCUAUUCAAUUUGCUGCAAUCAAAAGAGCAGGACCCCGCGCUCCUUGCUUUGCAGGAGAAGUUCAUGCCUUGAGUACAUCAAUGAGAGAGUUUAUUAAGGUACAAAAUACUUUAAAAUUGCCAGAACUUUUUAAUAGUUUGCUACAAAUCAAUAGCAAUUGUGAUAUCGGAGUUGAUAAAAUACAACAUUUUGUUAAAUAUUUACUUCGAAGUGGUGGCCUUGUUGUAUUUGCGUCAUUUUACAAAACGAGAAGUAUGAUAAAGCAUGCAUUUUUUCUUCGACAUAAUGCUAGAAGUUGGGUUCUCAGGGGAUGCAUACCACCUGUAUAUUACAAGACCUACUCGGAACAAAUUAGCAGGAUCCUUCUACUCUUUCUUUGUGUAAAAUGUUUUUCAUGGGUACUGCAAUCUGGUGAUGCAAACACUCUGCAGCAUUAUAAUUUACUUGCAUUACAUUGUAAGUUUGUCUUCUAUAUUUGGCACUUGGCAGUCUACUAAGAGUUACUUUAAGUGCUGUAUGGCUAACAUGUAGUUGCAUAAAGGUGUCUUCAGUGCAGCAAAUGUGAAGUAUACCAACAUUUCCAUUUAUUUUAUUGAUAUAUUAGUUCUUAAUAUUAAUAUUGUAUUCGUUCUCUCUUUCUAAGUUUAAAAUCUCUUUUAAAAUACAGGAAAAUGAUCCAAAAUACUAUCCUUUGUUUCUAAAUUUGUUUACAGUUUAAAAUAAUAAACUAGUUUUCAAUUUUAUUAUAUUCACAAAAUAUUAUAUAAAUUGCCUAUAUUUAAGUCUGUUUAUUCGGAAAUACUCUAUGCAACUAAGUAUAAACCUAUUUGUAGCUAUUGUUUUAAAAUAUAAAACCAUUCUGGAGACAAUGAGAAAGGCUGUCACUACAUCCUCAGUGUCUUACUCUUUACACCUUUUCUCAUUUCUUCACUACCUGAUCCUAGUCCCAGUAUUCAAUCCCCAUAUAUUCCUUCUUCAUCUAUACCUCAUUUGCAGCUUCAGCCGUUACUUCAUUCGGAAUAUGAGGUUUGUUUUGAUUAACUAUUCUUAUGUGAUUUACUUCAAUCAACCGUUAUCCGCCAUCGUUAAAACAUAACAAUACACUGCUGCUGUUUCUUUUUACUGGUACUUGUACUUUCUCCAUUCCAGUUGAUCUAUGUACCAUUAAUACCGUCAUUAAUUAUUGUUGUCAAUUGAAUAGAGUUUAUUAUGCUUUUUCAUGAGCAUCUUCUUUUGCCAAAUGUUGUUACCUACACCAUUCUCUAUAGGGGGUUAUCUCUCAUGACAAAUCUCUGGAGGUUGAGCACUGGUUUGAGAAGCUCAGCACAAUCAGACUAACUAAAACUAGUGUUGUUCCAUUAUUGAAAUAGGUUGAGCACUGGUUGGAUUUUUCUUUACUGUAGGGUUACUUUAUAAGUUAUUGAACUUACUUGAAUCAAGAGAGCAGGAUCCCGGCGCUCCUUGAAUCAAUUUCACUGUUUCUAAAUCGGAUCAUGGUGUUUAUAUAUUAGUGGUACUUUUUUUUUUCAUCGAUGCAUAUAUAAAAUAUUUAACCUCUGUUUCUUUCAUCAUCUUUAAUUGAAUAUUAGUGACCGUUCCUGCUUCCUCGGUGACAAAUAAGAAUCUUCUAUAGUGUCUGGGGAUUUAUUUAGAGCACUGCAAGUUUUUGCAUCAAUGUUGUUGUCUAUAAUUAUAGUAAUAAAUGUUGAUGCCAUCAAAAGAUUCUUUCGGUGAUGCACAUAUAUAUUAAGUUCUGUUUCUUCUUUUGUGUUUCUUACUAUAUAUAGUUUGGCUCAACCACUUUUGCUGCAGAUGGACACUUGGAAUGGUAGCAUUACUGGUUAAUAUUUGUAGCAGUUCUGCAAAAGAAGCACAGAUCUGGUGCAUCAUGGGGAAUGUCAAGCGCAGAAAACCAAGGUGUUAAACUGGAAUAUAGUGACAUGCAGAAUCUUGUUGCCUGGACUUUGCUGAAAUGGACUUGUUGUUGAAGCAAUGUCCGUGUUUCACAAGAUGGAGUCAUGUGGCUAAUUAGUUCCUGAUUUACGCAUUUAUAAUAUUCUGAUUCAUGGAUUGUUCAAGAAUGGCAAAGUUGAUGAAGCAAGAAAUCUUUUUCAAAAUAUUCUUUUAAAGGGUUUGCGCCCUAGUGUCAUAUCUUACAACAGUAUGAUACAAGGAUUCUGUCAAGAAGGGUUGCUGGAAGAAGCAUAUAAAAUACUUCUGGAGAUGGAAGAACAGAGUUGCUUCCCUAAUUAAAUUACGGGCAACACUCUUAUCCCCGGCUGCUUUAGGAAUAAGAUUUAUGAUGGAGGUUGUGUGCUUAUAAAUGAUAUGUCAUAUGUGUGUUCAUGGUUUCAAAGCAGAUGUCUGUACCAGCUCCACGCUAUUUGAUUUGCUGCAAUCAAAAGAGCAGGUCCUGCUCUUUUUGCUUUGCAGAAGAAGUUCAUGCCUUAACUACAUCAAUGAGCAAGUUUAUUAAGGUGCAAAAUACUUUUAACUUGACAGCACUUCGUAAUAGUUUGCUACAAUAUUUAAAGUCAACAGCAAUUUUGUUGAAAAUCAGAUUUUGAGACGGUGGUCAUGUUCUAUUUGCAUCUUUUUACAAAUGAGAAUCAUGAAAAAGCAUGUUUUCAUUCUUAUGUUUUUUACUCAUCGACUCUACGUAUUUUCAACUUUUUUUCUAGAAAAGGUAAAUUAUCCGAAUAAUUAUUUAUUAAUUAUUAAACUUGUUUUCUAUUUCAUUCGCUCUCUUUUCAAGUAAACAUGUUGCAUUUGAGGCUUAAUUGCUGCUUUGAACCGGUGUUUUGUAAUGUGUGUAUGCUUUAAGAUGAAGGUUGUAAUUAUGCUAUGAUGUGCUUGUGCUUUUGUUUACUUUUUCGGGUUUUUACGAGGUUUGAUGGUUGAUUUUUGUAAUUUUAAGUGUUAUUUGUAUUUAGAGGUGGAUAACGAGCUGUACGAGACGAGGCAAGUUGGAGAUGAAAGGAGUUGCUUAAAAUUGGAUUUGGACACCGUUUUCCUCGCGUUGUCGAGGCGAGUUCAAUUCUCCUUAUCUACUCCGGAGACGAGUUCUCGCUAUCCCAACUCGUGUACAACUUGGCGAGUUGAGCAAGUUCUAUGAAUUACUACAAUUUUUUUUUAAAUGAUGUAUAUAGCUUACAAAUAUAUCUUUAACUGAUAUAACCUACAAAAAUAAUGUAUACACUCCCUCUGUGUGUCUAGAUUGUUUAACUUAGUGGACGGGGGGCUUGACACACAUUUUAAGAAUCCUGUAAAGUGUAGUUUCACAAAUUAUUUUUUUUUUCUUCUGAAUAAAAAUUUAAUAUUUAAAUAUUUGUAAAAAAUUAAAAAUAAUAUGAAAAUAUGUCUUAUAUGCACCUUCAAAUGCGAGUUAAACAAUAAAAAAUACCGUGUGGAUGUCCUUGACUUUUCACAGAUAGAUGGAUAGACUUUUAACUUUUCAUCCUUCAAGCUUUGAUCUUUCAUAUUCCAGUUACUCUAGACUUUUGACCUUUUAAAUAUCUUGUAACUUCUUUAUCAUGUUCAAACUUGUACUUAGAAACUUACUCUAAUAAAUACAAUUCUCUUAUUCACUUUCUAAUAUCUCUUUUAUGUUUACUUUAUAUUUAUAUUAUAUUCAUAACAUUUAAUUACAUCUCUUCAUUUUUCAACAAUGUUCUAAAAGUCGGGAUUAAUCGUUGUUCGAUCGGCCAUCGUCUCGAUUAAGUAUUAAUCGAUAAAAAAAGUGUUUUUCCUGAAAAAUCGAUUAAAGACGGGAUUAAUCGGUUAGAAAAGGAUAUAAUCGGCAAAAAUCGGUAAAUUUAAAAACUUUAAAAAUUAUUUUAAAAAAUUUAAAAUUAAAAAAAUUAAUUUUAAGACACAUUGUACUAUGGUCUUAUGGAUGAAUUGACCUAAAUAUUUAGAAAAUAGAUAUUUUGUGGAUAAAAUCAUUAAUUUUUUAAUUUAUAAAAGUAUAUGAUUAUAAAUCUAUUGUAAAUAUAAAUAUAUUUAUACUUAUAUUUAUCUAGUUUAAAAAAUAAUAUUAAAUUGAUUCCGAUUAAUGAUCCGAUUAAUCCCCGAUUAUCCGAUUGAUCGCUAGACGGUACCUUUACCGACUAAGUCCAAUUUCCGCUUUUUACAACACUGUUUUCCAAUGCACAAGAUAUGGAAAAUGUUAUUUCCAGAGCAAGAUUUUUGUUUUCGGAGCAAAUUCAAUGCUCUCCCCCCCUUGCAUCCACAUAAAUCAUACAACUUCAGUCCAAAUUUCUGUAAAUUGCUCUGGAAAUUAAAAAACUGCUCUGGAUAUAACAUUUCCCACAAGAUAUCUAUUACACUAUAUUUAAUAACUCUAAAAAUUGCAUAUUUAUCUUUUAACUAACAAAAUAAUUAUCAAAUGUAUAGAUGAAUUUACAUUCUCUCUCGGUCUUAAAAUAAGUGUCAUUUUGACAAUUUGAACAUAAUUUAAGAGGCAAAAAAAACAUGCUUCCACACACUAUUUUUCAAUUUUUUUUUCUGAAUGAAAAUAUAGAUGUUAAACUUUUAUUCAGGAAAAAGAAUAUUUAAAAAAUAAUAUAUAAAAGUAUGAUUUUUUUUGCAUCUCAAAUUACGUUAAAAAAAAUUCAUUUGAAUUGGAAUCAUAAAUUUUAAAUGCAUUACCAGCAAAUCAGCAAUACAAAAUGUAGAUGAUAUGUUGCUUUAGAAGCAGCACUCUCCUUCACAGAAACAGCACAGGAGCAGAGUUUCUAAACACAAAGGCUUUAAAAUGCAAUUGUGGAAGAUGAAGACGAUGAUAAUGAAGAGGGCUUUCACCUCCUGCUUCACUUCAAACACUCUCCUUCCAUUCCCAAGACUAGGUACGAAUAAUAUUACUGCUACUACUACUAUUACGUUGCUUCGAUUGCAUUCACUUUCUCAAUCCCCCACUUGCCCUAACCCUAAUCACAUACCCAAUCAUCUUACAAAACUUCAACAAUUACUGUUGGAGAAAUCUAGAGUUGGUUUUGAUAAGCCUGAUGAUGCUCUUCAAGUGUUCGAUAAAAUGCUCCGUAUGAAACCUCUGCCUAGGGUUAUCGACUUUAAUCAACUCCUGGCCGCCCUUGUCAAGAUGAAACAUUACUCCGUGGCUGUCUCCGUCUUUUCAAAGAUGUGCUCUUUUACCAUUCCUGUUAAUGUAGUCACUUAUAGUACUGUCAUCAACUGUUGCUGUCACUUAAAACGAGUUGAUUAUGGCUUUACGCUGUUGGCUGCCAUCUUUAAACGUGGUUUUGUCCCGAAUGUUGUUACCUACACAACUCUUCUUAGGGGACUCAUUUCCCAGGACAAGUUUCUUGAGGCUGAGCUUCUCUUUAAGAACCUUCUCAAGCACAAUCAAGUUGAGCCCAAUGCAGUUAUCUUUAACACCAUUAUUAAUGGCCAAUGCAAAACAGGCAACACUUCCCAGGCUAUGAUGUUGCUUAGAUACAUGGAGAAGAAAGGUUGUAUGCCGGAUGUAGUAACUUACAGCACUAUUAUUGAUAGUUUGUCCAAAGACAGAUUAGUCGAUGAUGCUUUGGGUCUUCUUGCUGAAAUGAGUGACAAAGGCAUUCGACCAAAUGUUAUAACCUACAGCUCAUUAAUUCAAGGUCUGUGCAACCUUAACCGAUGGGAUGAUAUAACACAAUUGUUAAAAGAUAUGGACAAACACAAAAUUUCUCCAGAUAAGCAUACCUAUAGUAUAUUGGUUGAUGCACAUGCCAGAGAUGGAAAGGUCAAAGAUGCUGAGUAUCUGAUAGAGUUAAUGAUUCAAAGAGGUCAAAAUCCUAAUGUAGUCACCUACAGUGCACUUAUGGAUGGAUACUGCUUGAGAGGAGAAUUGGAUAAAGCGUUUGCAGUGCUCAGAACCAUGAGAAAUAAGGGGAUUUUGCCCAACACUCAGACCUAUACUAUAUUGAUCAGUGGUUAUUGUAAGAAGAUGAAAGUAGACACGGCAAUAACUCUCUUAGAAGAAAUGCCCCUGAAAGGUUUAACACCUACAGUUGAAACGUACGGUACUAUUUUGGAUGGCUUAUUUCGUACGCGUAGGCUUGAUGAAGCACAUAAGUUUUAUAGGAAGAUGUUAAACCAAGGUCUCAGACUGGAUAUAGUGAUAUGUAGUACCUUGCUUCAUGGACUUUGCUUGAAUGGACUUGUUGUUGAAGCAAUGUCCUUGUUUCACAAGAUGGAGUCUUGUGGCUUAGUUCCUCACAUAAGCAUUUAUAAUAUUCUGAUUCAUGGAUUGUUCAAGGAUGGCAAGGUUGACAAGGCAAGGGACCUUUUUCAUAAUCUUCUUUUGAAGGGUUUACAGCCUGAUCUCAAAACCUACAACAUUAUGAUCCAUGGAUUCUGUCAAGAAGGGUUGCUGGAAGAAGCAUAUAAAAUACUUUUGGAAAUGGAAGAACACAAUUGCUUGCCUAAUGAAGUUACAUACAACACUCUUAUCCGCGGCUGCUUUAAGAAUAAGAUGUAUCAUGGAGGUUGUGUGCUUAUAGAUGAGAUGGUUGCUCAUGGUUUCAAAGCAGAUGCCUCUACCGCCUCCAUGCUAUUCGAUUUGCUGCAAGUAAAAGAGCAGGACCCUGCGCUCCUUGCUUUGCAGAAGAAGUUCAUGCCUUGACUACAUCAAUGAGCGAGUUUAUUAAGGUACAAAUUACUUUUAAAGUUCCAGAACUUCGUAAUAAUUUGCUACGAUAUAUAAUGCCAAUAGCAAUUGUGAUACUGGAGUGAAUAAUAUGUAAUUUUGUUGAAUAUCAAAUUUCGAGAUGGUGGUCAUGUUGUAUCGGCAUGACGGCAUCUUUUUACCUACAUCAAUGAGCGAGUUUAUUAAGGUACAAAUUACUUUUAAAGUUCCAGAACUUCGUAAUAAUUUGCUACGAUAUAUAAUGCCAAUAGCAAUUGUGAUACUGGAGUGAAUAAUAUGUAAUUUUGUUGAAUAUCAAAUUUCGAGAUGGUGGUCAUGUUGUAUCGGCAUGACGGCAUCUUUUUACAAAAUGAGAAUCAUGAAAAAGCAUGUGUUUUCUUUGACAAAAUGCAGGAAGCUGGUUUCUCGGGAGAUGCAUACCACCUGUAUAUUACAGGACCUGCUAUAAAUAGGACAUGGUACAGUGUGCAAACUUAUUAUUUACGUGCACUCUUGUAAGUUUCUUAUCUAUUCUCGUAAUUAAUUUGGAUUGUUCUUUACUGUAAGCUUAGUUUAGAGUUGCAUAAAGCAGUGUUCAGUGCCGCAAAAGUAAAGUACAAGAACCAUUACAAUUAUUUCUUGAUAUAUUAGUUCUUAAUAUAUGUAUUUUCCGUCGUCUCUAUGUAGUUUUGAACGUUCUUCUAAAGAAAGGGAAUCCAUCAGAACUACUAUUCAUAUAUUAUUAAACUUGUUUUCUCUUCAUAAAAGUUGUUUUGUCAUUCAUACUUAAAUAUGAUGAUUCAGUCUGCAACAUUAUUAUAUACUUGCACUCUCUUGUCAAUUUGGUAUCUUUUGUCCUAGUCCACUAGGACUUCUCUUUACUGUAAGGUUACUUUAAAUUUGCAUAAAGUAGUGAUAAGUGCAGCAGACUUGAAGUACAAUCGUUACUGUCAUCACUUGAUAUUUUAGCUAUUAAUAUUAUGUAUUAACUUCAAUCAAAUGUAAUCUGCAUUGUUAAAAUCAAACAAUACUAUUUUGCGAUCUUUCUUCACUGAUACUUGUGGUUUUACCAUUCCAGUUGAAGUAUAGUUCCUUUUGGUUAACAAAAGUAGCAGACACUGCUGAAGGCGUUUGUUUUGUUCCGUAAAAUGCUCAAAAUAAAAGCUAUGGUACAGUUCCAAUCCAUUACAAGAGUUACACAAAGAUCAGGAGCCAAUCCUUGACAAUGUGCCAAAUUUUCUGGAAAAGCAAAGCAUGAAUACAUCGGAUCCAGCAGCUUUGUUCGAGUGCAUCUAAAAUUAAGCACGCUUAGUUUCCUCCUCUGAUGGUUGUGCUCUCAAGCUAUCACUCAUGUACUCUGGCACUAGUGUUCCGAUAAAGAUCGGUUUCAAUGAGCUCGAAGAUUCGCUUGUUGUGUUUGAUAAAAGGCUCUAAUCAAUUGUUACUGGCCCUUGUUCAAAUGAGGAAGUACUCUGUAGCUGUACUUAUGUUUAGAGAAAUGCAUGUUUUAGGCAUCAUUACAAUUAAUAUAUUAAACUAAAGAUAAAACAAGAAACUCAUGUAGAACUUGUUUCCAUGGAAAUAUCUCAGAAGCAAAUUUUUGAUAGGUACAGCUUGGAUCAUGUAUUCAGAAACUGUACAAAGGUAAUGAUCAACUGAUGAUCAUAUACUUACAGCAUGUAGUAAUGUGAAAUAGAUGUAUACAUUGAUAUUAUACUUGUUCCAAUUUGGGAGCACACAUAACAAUGGCGUCUGCAACUCUUAGGAAGAUCUUGUCCUCUCCGACCAUGUUUGCAAACUCAGAUGCAUGUAAUUUGUCGAGUACAACUUGCCCUGGAUUUGCUAGAUUGAGCUGUUUAUAUAAACAUCCAAGAAACAAUCAAUAUUAUGAAAUGUUAUCGAGAUUUAUGCACUUAAAUUACGUAUGGAAUUCAACUUGAAGAUGAAACUGGUCUGGAUAUGCUUACCUGAAUAGACCUUUUCUGGAGACUCUUGUACAGUUCUUCCAAGGCGUGAAUACCACUAGUGUCUAUGUCUGUCACAGCUGCAACAGAAUACGGAAGAAUAAAUCACAAUGCUUACAUAGAAAACAAUGUUUUUUUUCAGUUAUCAUCGUGUAGGCGCAAGCAGAAACAGUAUCCGUAGAGCAGAAAUUGCUUACGUGACAUGUCCAGUACUAAAUUUUGAAUUUCGGGUUGUUUAUGUUCAGCCAGCAUUUCUUCCUCAUCCAGUAUCCAUCUCAAUAUCCUGUAAAGUAUCAAGUACUGGCAUUAAUCCUUGAAAUACUAAUAGAGUUAUAGAUAAUACCACGCCCUAGUUUGGAAAAUGAGAAGCUAUACCUCUCCUUUAUGUAGUUGGAAUUGGAAAAGUAAAUUGCAGAAUCGACUCUGAUUAUUAGAACACCAGGAACUCUGGUUGCUUCUGGAUAUUGCUGCAUGUUCCUGUAAACACUAGUCCUGGGGAUUCUGCCAAGAGCUGCUGUCCGUGGCCUAGUCACUUGUAGAAGAAUUUUGGCAAAGGAAAUGGAUACCUGUGAUAUAAGAUGAUGGCAUUAUAAAUCUCCAAACCUGAUUUAUAUAUUUGAUCUUCAAAUAAACACAUGGUAAAUAUCAUUUACUUACCGCAAUCAAGAGACCAACUUCAACUGAAGUAAAAACUACGCCAAAAAAUGCUUUCUUCAGCUACCGGAAAAGACAGUUUUCAAACUUUCUUUUAAUAUAUUUAACAUUAAAAAAGGUAAUUUAUAUUUUUAAUAUUUAUAAUCCAAAAUUUCAGAAAAUUAUAAAAAUAAAACGAAACUAUCUGAAAAGCGCGACCUAUACGUCUCUCGCUUCUCCUUUAUAUAUAUAUAUUGAUGAUUGAUUGUUAUGUUAUUAGAUCCUGACUCUAUGUGUGUGUAUAUAUAUAUGCUCAUGAUCAAAUACAAACCAGUUCUUAAAUAAAAACUAAAAACCAGAUUAGUUUAAUGAUAUUGUCAAUACAAUUUAAUAGUAUUCUCUUUAGAAUUUAGUGAUUUGUGCGGCAGAAUUGACGUAAAUUUCCAGGAAUCAGUGAAAAUCGGUGGAUAUGUUCUUGUACUCGAUUCUGGUGGUUGUGGCGGGGGUGGAGAUGAUGGUGGUGGCCAUGGAAAGACGGAGCAACAGUUUCAGCAGGAGUGUUUCAGCAGAUCUGAUAUAUAAAUAAAAUCGUAAUGCCUUUAACUUGGCAGUAAAAACGGCGGAGAUGAAGACAACGGAGGUGGAGGAGGUGACACAGGUGGAGUGGUACUGGAGGAGAAGGUGGAGGUGGGUGGACGUUGAUGGAGGUUGCAAUUGAAAGGCUUUGGUGAAGGUGAAGGAGGGGGCGGCGGCGGGGGUGGAGGUGAAGAUGGAGAUGGCGGUUGGCGGGGAAGAUGGAGAGGGAGGUGUAGAUAUUAGUGAUAUGUGCUUUGGAAUUUAGUGAUAUAUGAGGUGGGUUUUUAGUUUGUAGAAUAUGGAGAUUUGUAUUGGAGUAAAACUCUAUAUGUGUGUGUGUAAUAGUAUAAUAGUGAUAAUAAUAAAAUAGAAUAUAUGAUAAUCAAAUUUUGGUGGGUUUUUUUUUUGCCAAAAUUUAGAACGGAUUUCAUUAAUAUCUUGAAAGAGACUCAAUUGGGACAAACCCUCGAUUGAUCAUGCAAUCAGGUUGAAAAAUAAAUAAACGAGUUAAAUGAUUAGCCGCUUUAUUUCCGGAUUGCUUAACUAACCGAAUACAAAUAUUCUGAAAAUUAAAAAUGAAGAUAAUGAUUUCUUGAGAAAUCCAACAUGCAUCUCUCCUAAAAACAGUAGUUUCACAGUUGACCCUUACAGUAAUUUUAUAGAUAGUGCAACGUUCAGGAGACUCAGUUGCCAAAACUGAGUUUAGAGAUCUCAUGCUGUGAACAGGUAUAUUUUGUGAGAGGAGAGCACAUGCGAUUUUCACUACCGUUCCAAAAACAAUCUAGCUAUCUAGAUGCCAGACACAGCUACAGACCUGUCGAAAGUGUUGUUGAUGCGAGAUCUCCAAAUCUCCCAAUACAUCGUAAAAUUCAUUUUCAAUACAAACACAUCAUAAAGCCAGACACAUCGCACAAAGCGAGACAUUCAAACACAUAAAUAUGACAGAAGACAACGAAAAACUCAAAUGAGUUUCCCGGAUUUUGUGGAACAAAACUCGAUUUUAUUGAAGAAGAAACAAACAAAGAGGAUUAUUGAUAGAAAAUUAAAAAGAAGAGAAGAGGUGUUGUGUGUAUGGAGAAGCGGCGGCUAAACAAUUAAGAUGGGAUGAAAGAAGAUAGGAAUAGUGAUGAGUAGAAGAGGUGGGGAAGGAGAUGGAAGCGGCUAGGGUUAGCGGGAGAUGGAGCGGUUGACUGAAUCAACAAUUUCAAGAGACCUUAAUUCAUCCGUGUUUGUUAUUUUAAAAUAAACUUAAAUUUUGGUGGUUUAGUGACCAAAUGUUGAUAUUUUAGUAUUUAGUACUUCUGGAUUUUCAAUGAAAUUUUUCUUAUUAAUAAAAGGCAUUGAUUUUAGAAAUUUAUCCGAAAUCAAUAAAUUUCAAGCAAUUUGAGUAAAUAUUGUUAUAUUUCACUCUAGAAUAGGAUUUUGCAAAUCAAAGAUUAGAGUUGUGUUAUUUUAUUAAAAUUUAACUCGUAUCAAAUUUCGUUAUAUGUUUGUCAAUAUUAUAAAGUUUUAGGGUUAAUUAUCAAAUAGGUCAUUUGCUUCAUUUCAAUGUAUCAAGUGAGUCAUCGACAAAUUUUUGGUCUCAUUUGCACCACUCAUCUCAAAUUGUGUUACAUGUUCACAAUUUUUUGUGAAGUUACGUCAAAAUAAACCUUUUUUGUUAAACUAUAGGACAAGAACUUAUUUGGGACUUGACGUGAACUUGUACACAAAGCAACGUGAUGAUAAAAUAAUAAAAAAUCAAAUAUUAAAUUAGAAAAAUUUACAAAAUAUAGGUCCAAUUCAAUUUAAAAGGAAGAUUAAUAUAUGUUUAGCUAAAAAAAAAAUUGAUGUAUUCAGAAAUCUAAAAAUCCAUGAUUUAACCGAUUAAUCCCUUGCAAUAUUGCCGGCUGAUUCGAUUUUUGAAAUCUGAUUAAUUUUAUAAUUUUUUCUUAAUUGAAUUAUGUAUAAUAAUUUAUUAAAAUUAAAAUACUAUAUCAUAUUAACUAUGAAUAAUUAUAAAACCUAUAACAUAGUAAAGAUAUAUUUAUCAAUAAAUAACCAAUUCAAUCAUAACUAAAUAUUAAAUAAUAUUAAAAUAUUAAUAUACACCCGAUUUUUAGCCCGAUAAAUCCUUCCGAUUAAUCUCUGGUUUCGAUUAAUCCUGAGUUCGUAGAUAAAACAAUUAGGUCAGAUUCUCGAUUUCACACGAUGUAAUUUGAUGAAGUCACCGAAACUGUAUCACGGUAAAAAGGGCGAGAAAUACUGAAACAGGUAGAAAAACAAACAGCACCUGGCAGUGUCUCUUAAACAGAAGGAAGAAAAAUCAGAAGACGAAUACGGUGACGAUGAGAAUGGCUUUCACCACUUGCUUCGGUUCGAACACUCUUCUCAGAUUUCCGAUACACGCUACGAAUACUAUUACGUUGCUUCGAUUGCAUUCACUUUCUCAAUCCUCCGCUUACCCUCACCCUAAUCACAUACCCAAUCAUCUUACGGAAUUUCAACAAUUACUGUUGGAGAAAUCUAGAGUUGGUUUUGAUAAGCUCGACGAUGCUCUUCUUGUGUUCGAUGAAAUGCUCCGUAUGAAGCCUCUUCCUACUGUCAUGCAAUUUAAUCAGCUCUUGGCCGCCCUUGUCAAGAUGAAACAUUACUCUGCGGCUGUUUCCGUCUUUUCAAAGAUGUGCUCUUUUAACAUUGCUGUUGAUAUAGUUACCUAUAACAUCACCAUCAACUGUUGUUCCCAUUUGAAACGCGUUGAUUAUGGGUUUGUGCUGUUGGCUGCCAUCUUUAAGCGUGGUUUUGUCCCGGAUGUUGUCACCUACACAACUCUUGUUAGUGGACUCAUUUUUCAGGACAAGUUUCUCGAGGCUGAGCUUCUCUUUAAGAACCUUCUCAAGCACAAUCAAGUUGAGCCUGAUGCAACUAUCUUUAACACCAUUAUUAAUGGCCUCUGCAAAACAGGCAACACUUCCUAGGCUAUGAGGUUGCUUAGAUACAUGGAGAAGAAAGGUUGUAUGCCCUGCAUAGUAACUUACAACACUAUUAUUGAUAGUUUGUCCAAAGACAGAUUAGUCGAUGAUGCUCUGGGUCUUCUUGCCGAAAUGAGUGACAGAGGCAUUCAACCAGAUGUUGUAACCUACAGCUCGUUAAUUCAAGGUCUGUGCAACCUUAACCGAUGGGAUGAUAUAACACAAUUGUUAAAAGAUAUGGGCAGACAAAAAAUUUCUCCGGAUAAGAAUACCUAUAGUAUAUUGGUUGAUGCACAUGCAAGAGAUGGAAAGGUCAAAGAUGCUGAGUAUCUGAUACAGUUAAUGAUUCGAAGAGGCCAAAGUCCUGACGUAGUCACAUAUAGUGCACUCAUGGAUGGAUACUGCUUGCGGGGAGAAUUGGAUAAAGCGUUAGCAGUGCUCAAAACCAUGACAAGUAAGGGGAUUUUGCCCGACACUCAGACCUAUACUAUAUUGAUCAAUGGUUAUUGUAAGAAGAUGAAAGUCGACACAGCAAUAACUCUCUUAGAAGAAAUGCCCCUGAAAGGUUUAACACCUACAGUUGAAACAUACAGUACUAUUUUGGAUGGCUUAUUUCGUACGCGUAGGCUUGAUGAAGCACAUAAGUUUUAUAGGAAGAUGUUAAACCAAGGUGUCAGACUGGAUAUAGUGACAUGUUGUACCUUGCUUCAUGGACUUUGCUGGAAUGGACUGGUUGUUGAAGCAAUG
rnacentral:lncRNA from 1 species